UGGGUGGGUAAAAUGGGUUUUAGCCACCCACCCCAAAGCCCCGCAAGUGGGGAAAAUGGACAAAAUGGGGAAAACACUUUUUUGGGGCAAAACGAUUCACUGUUUCACUCUCAACUUGAAAGAUAAAGUAAUUCAGCAUAUUAAAUAACACGAAAGCUCUGAAAAUUAUAAAAAAUAUAGAUAAUUGCUGACUCUGUAAUCCUUUCUUCGAAAUUGUUUGCAUUUCCAUCUUCAUGUGUAAAGUUAUAUUAGGUUGUUGAUUCAUAUUUGCUAUCACUGGCAAGAUCUAAUGACAAAAGAUAAUUUGUAUCCUUUAUGAGAGAUUAAAAUGAAUGUAAAUUUUUAGGAUAUUUCGUUUUUAUCCAGAAUUUACCCAGAGUGUAGUUUUAUUUUUACGAAACUGGGAAUUUUAAACCUAAUUAUUUAACGGUAAAAUAAAAAAAUCGAGUGGUUUAUUUAAUAAACAGUAAGAACAGAACACAACAAGGAAAAUAAACUACCCCCAAUGGUGGUGGUGGUCCACCACGUCACUAUAACCCGUCAUACCCAUUUUCCCCACUACCCACCCAUUUUCCCCAUUUUUUCCAUUUUACCCACUGGGCUGGGGAUUAAGCUCAAAAGGUUUUUUAUCAGUACAAAGGACCCCAAGGGAUUCCUUCUCUCAACCAGCGUUCAAAAAGGCCGGAAUAAAAAUUGACAGCACGUCUGGUACCUAUGAGCUAGACGCUGAGGCUGUACGAAUAGUGACAAAUGCAGAAUCCUCAAUCUUAACGUCAAGGACGGUAAUUGGCACAAUUACGUCAGCAGGCCCUAGUGAUUUACGCAUGCCAGUUCUCUUAUCCCUGGACAAUUUCACAUUUCAUGGAGGUGUGGAAUUAAGCGAUCAAUUAUACUUCUUUCACUGCCUUACUACACCCUGUUCGUUCAAUGGACUAAUUAAUAUUUUAUCAGACCUGGACUUCAGUAUAUUGGAGAUCAAAGUGUCAUCCUCGCACCCGAUGAGCCAGAAAAUAAUUCUUGUAAGAGGCCUGAGUAAAACUUCGGCGAUCCUGGGGAAAGAAUAUUUUGCAUCUUUAAACGGAAUUAAUAUGUUGACAGGAGUAGCAUUCGAUGAAUGAAGUAGGCCUCAUUACCCAAUCUCAUGCAAUCUUAAUCUCAAUCUUAUGCAAUGCAAAACAUGUAAAUAUGUAUAUGUGCUUAAAUAUUUGUUAUUACCAUAAAUGGGAGGAACUUUUUGUAUGCAAAAUUAUUUGUCAUUAUCUUUAAUGCGAAGUUCAAAACAAAAUCCGUUACACAUGGAUGCAGUAUUUUCUCCUAACUUCGAUACCUGUGUACCACAUGACUCGAUAUUUUAGUAAAAAUGUGAGAGCAUUGCAUCAUGAUAUGCAUAGGAUGCAGUCCCAGUUCUGCUUGCACGGCCCUAUGCCUGAUUAAACACACACCCAAUGUCAAUAGACAGUAAACACAGGUACAUGUACAUAAAUAUGUACACAUGUAUACCCCGCAAAACUAACGAGUCCUUUGCAUAUAUGUACAUAUAUAAUGUAUAAGUCAUUAGAUAUUUAUAUGUUUAAAUUACUAAUUGACCAGAAAGGGCAAGCCUCUCAUACGAACAAUGUCAAUAUUCCUACAUUUCUCUCCUCCCUUUAGUGGUUAGUAUUUUUUUUUGUGAAAUUUAUCUCUCGAUCGCAAGAACUCGAAACGUAUAUUUACAAGUCAAAAUUGGUUCAAGAGUGUAUAUUUAUUUAAUUUCAGCGUAAUUAUUAAAUCCACACGGCUUCUAUACAUACAUAUACAUAUUUAUAUAGCGACCCCCAUUGAUAAUAGAUUAUACUGCUUCAAACGUAUGUACAUAAUAAUUAGUGCUUAAAAGUUUAAUUGUUUAGGUAAACCUUUUGACAAAUAUCCUGUGGUGAAAAAUAUCCGUUCCGCUGAGACAGUUUUACUUAUUUAAGAAGUUUAGCUUAAUUUGAAAGACGUCAAAGUCUCAGCUUGAGUUGGACUUUCUACACUUUGAGAAGUAUUGAUUAAAGUGUUGUAGCAACUUAUAUUUAGCUCGUUGAUACAUUCAUUAGUUAGAUACAUGCAAAUUUGCGCAUCAAAAUUUCU